GGCUAAUAAGGCUGAGGAACACGAUGAGGAGGACGACGAUGGCGUAGUUCAUGGCGAAGUAGGAGAGAUUGGUGCGGAUCCGGAGGUAGGCGUCGCCGAUGGACGGCGGGAGGCUGAAGGCGUGGCGGUGCGCCAUCUCGCGCCAGGGGCGGCGGGUGGCGAGGACGGACUGGCCGCGCUCCUUGGCGCGGGAGAUGAAGUUGAAGGGGGAGGCGGCAGCGGCGCUGCCGGUGGGGGCGGAGGAGGUCGGGAUCGUGCCGUAGUUCG
rnacentral:misc_RNA from 1 species